rnacentral:rRNA from 1 species
CCUUCGGGAGUGAGUAGAGUGGCGCACGGGUGAGUAACGCGUGGGAACCUGCCAAGCAGUGGGGAAUAACCUUUGGAAACGAAGGCUAAUACCGCAUACGCCCUUCGGGGGAAAGAUUUAUCGCUGUUUGAUGGUCCCGCGUCCGAUUAGCUAGUUGGUAGGGUAAUGGCUUACCAAGGCGACGAUCGGUAGCUGGUCUGAGAGGAUGAUCAGCCACACUGGGACUGAGACACGGCCCAG